GAUGAAGAACGUAGCAAAAUGCGAUAAGUAAUGUGAAUUGCAGAAUUCAGUGAAUCAUCGAAUCUUUGAACGCACAUUGCGCCCGCCAGUAUUCUGGCGGGCAUGCCUGUUCGAGCGUCAUUUCAACCCUCAAGCACAGCUUGGUGUUGGGACUCGCGUUAAUUCGCGUUCCCCAAAUUGAUUGGCGGUCACGUCGAGCUUCCAUAGCGUAGUAGUAAAGCCCUCGUUACUGGUAAUCGUCGCGGCCACGCCGUUAAACCCCAACUUCUGAAUGUUGACCUCGGAUCAGGUAGGAAUACCCGCUGAACUUAAGCAUAUCAAUAAGCGGAGGA
rnacentral:misc_RNA from 1 species